UGGGGAAUAUUGGACAAUGGGCGGAAGCCUGAUCCAGCCAUGCCGCGUGUGUGAAGAAGGCCUUUUGGUUGUAAAGCACUUUAAGCGAGGAGGAGGCUCUUCUAGUUAAUACCUAGGAUGAGUGGACGUUACUCGCAGAAUAAGCACCGGCUAACUCUGUGCCAGCAGCCGCGGUAAUACAGAGGGUGCGAGCGUUAAUCGGAUUUACUGGGCGUAAAGCGUGCGUAGGCGGCUGAUUAAGUCGGAUGUGAAAUCCCCGAGCUUAACUUGGGAAUUGCAUUCGAUACUGGUUAGCUAGAGUGUGGGAGAGGAUGGUAGAAUUCCAGGUGUAGCGGUGAAAUGCGUAGAGAUCUGGAGGAAUACCGAUGGCGAAGGCAGCCAUCUGGCCUAACACUGACGCUGAGGUACGAAAGCAUGGGGAGCAAACAGG
rnacentral:rRNA from 1 species